rnacentral:rRNA from 1 species
UACGAAGGGAGCUAGCGUUGUUCGGAAUCACUGGGCGUAAAGCGCACGUAGGCGGAUUUGCCAGUCAGGGGUGAAAUCCCGGGGCUCAACCUCGGAACUGCCUUUGAUACAGCAAGUCUUGAGUUCGAGAGAGGUGGGUGGAAUUCCUAGUGUAGAGGUGAAAUUCGUAGAUAUUAGGAAGAACACCGGUGGCGAAGGCGGCCCACUGGCUCGACACUGACGCUGAGGUGCGAAGGCUAGGGGAGCAAACGGG